CUCCUUUGACGUUAGCGGCGGACGGGUGAGUAACACGUGGGUAACCUACCUAUAAGACUGGGAUAACUUCGGGAAACCGGAGCUAAUACCGGAUAAUAUUUCGAACCGCAUGGUUCGAUAGUGAAAGAUGGUUUUGCUAUCACUUAUAGAUGGACCCGCGCCGUAUUAGCUAGUUGGUAAGGUAACGGCUUACCAAGGCGACGAUACGUAGCCGACCUGAGAGGGUGAUCGGCCACACUGGAACUGAGACACGGUCCAGACUCCUACGGGAGGCAGCAGUAGGGAAUCUUCCGCAAUGGGCGAAAGCCUGACGGAGCAACGCCGCGUGAGUGAUGAAGGUCUUCGGAUCGUAAAACUCUGUUAUUAGGGAAGAACAUACGUGUAAGUAACUAUGCACGUCUUGACGGUACCUAAUCAGAAAGCCACGGCUAACUACGUGCCAGCAGCCGCGGUAAUACGUAGGUGGCAAGCGUUAUCCGGAAUUAUUGGGCGUAAAGCGCGCG
rnacentral:rRNA from 1 species